rnacentral:lncRNA from 1 species
UCCCAGAAUAAAACCAAUGGGCACCACAUUCCUGGGGCCUCCCCUCCGUCCCCAGCCAUUCCUCCAGGAGAAACCCUGGAAUGCUAGCACUUCACCCAGAGACCUCACUUGAUUUCCAGAUUUCCAGUGGGGAACAGGGAGCUGGGACAUGGGAGAAAGGCUGUGACGUCACUCUGGGGCAGAGCAGUGGAGAUAUGUUGCUGAAAAGCCAUGCCUCCUUUUCCUGAUGAUCUUCCAAACCUCCUGUGCUGCGAGUCAAUGAUGAAAUAACUGUCGUCUGCAUAAAGCUUUUAGUGCUGAACAUGAAAAAGUUCUCUGGGCUGCCAGCAGGUGGGAUCCAUGGUCAAACAGGACCUAUCAGCUUGCACCUGGGUUUGCAAGGGAGGGAUGUGUUGCAGCUUCUGUGGUUCCUAGGAAUUCCUCCUCCUGGAUGGGCUCAACUAGCCACAGCCAUGUCCAGCAGCCAAAAAGGGAGGCAGAGCAAGGAAGGUCCUGAGCAAGAAGACCCGAAAUGGAGCAAGAUCAAGG